rnacentral:rRNA from 1 species
CUACGGGAAAAAGACUUCGGUCGCUAUUGGAUGAGCCUAUGUCAGAUUAGCUUGUUGGUAGGGUAAUGGCCUAGCAAGGCGACGAUCUGUAGCUGGUCUGAGAGGAUGAUCAGCCACACUGGGACUGAGACACGGCCCAGACUCCUACGGGAGGCAGCAGUGG